GCCCUCAUGGUAUAACCGGUAACGCAUCUGCGUGGAUUGCGAGAAAUGCGAGUUCGAUUCUCGUUUGGGGUG